rnacentral:rRNA from 1 species
AGAGUUUGAUCCUGGCUCAGAAUCAACGCUGGCGGCGUGCCUAACACAUGCAAGUCGAACGCGAAAGUCCCGCAAGCUAUGAGUAGAGUGGCAAACGGGUGAGUAACACGUGGGUGACCUGCCUUCGAGCGGGGGAUAACGUCCCGAAAGAUACGCUAAUACCGCAUAACAUCCUGCCUUUGAAGAGGUGGAGAUCAAAGCUGGGGAUCGCAAGACCUAGCACUCGAAGAGGGGCCCGCGUCCGAUUAGCUAGUUGGUGGGGUAAUGGCUCACCAAGGCAACGAUCGGUAGCCGGUCUGAGAGGGCGGUCGGCCACACUGGGACUGAGACACGGCCCAGACUCCUACGGGAGGCAGCAGUGGGGAAUUGUUCGCAAUGGGCGCAAGCCUGACGACGCAACGCCGCGUGGAGGAUGAAGAUCUUCGGGUCGUAAACUCCUUUCGAUCGAGACGAAUUCCCCUGGAGUGAACAGCUCCGGGGGUUGACGGUACCGAGAGAAGAAGCCCCGGCUAACUCCGUGCCAGCAGCCGCGGUAAUACGGGGGGGGCAAGCGUUGUUCGGAAUUACUGGGCGUAAAGGGCUCGUAGGCGGCCAACUAAGUCAGACGUGAAAUCCCUCGGCUUAACCGGGGAACUGCGUCUGAUACUGGAUGGCUUGAGUUUGGGAGAGGGAUGCGGAAUUCCAGGUGUAGCGGUGAAAUGCGUAGAUAUCUGGAGGAACACCGGUGGCGAAGGCGGCAUCCUGGACCAACACUGACGCUGAGGAGCGAAAGCCAGGGGAGCAAACGGGAUUAGAUACCCCCGUAGUCC